rnacentral:tRNA from 1 species
UCUAAUGUGGCAGAAUAGUGCAAUGAAUUUAAGAUUCAUAUAUAAACUAAAUUUCUUUAGAU